AGUGAACGCUGGCGGCAGGCCUAACACAUGCAAGUCGAGCGGCAGCGCGGGGGCAACCCUGGCGGCGAGCGGCGGACGGGUGAGGAAUUCGUCGGAAUCUGCCUUUUUGUGGGGGAUAACGUAGGGAAACUUACGCUAAUACCGCAUACGUCCUACGGGAGAAAGUGGGGGACCGCAAGGCCUCACGCAGAAAGAUGAGCCGACGACCGAUUAGCUAGUUGGUGGGGUAAAGGCCCACCAAGGCGACGAUCGGUAGCUGGUCUGAGAGGAUGAUCAGCCACACUGGGACUGAGACACGGCCCAGACUCCUACGGUAGGCAGCAGUGGGGAAUAUUGGACAAUGGGCGCAAGCCUGAUCCAGCCAUGCCGCGUGUGUGAAGAAGGCCUUCGGGUUGUAAACUCCUUUCGACCGCGAGGAAGCCGCCUGGUUGGAAGAGUGGUGACGGUAGUGGUAGAAGAAGCACCGGCUAACUACGUG
rnacentral:rRNA from 1 species